rnacentral:lncRNA from 1 species
GGCCGCGACCAGUAUCACACCCCAAAUCAGAAACGUCUGGAGGGGCCGCGGGCAGCCGAGACACCUGGAGGUGUGAACGGCACAGGCGUGGGGCAAGAACAGGGUCAAAUGAUAACGAAACAUCUGAUUCCAGACAGUGCCACCUGGGUAAGAUGGUGACAUCUCCUUAGCAAGUAUCUGAAGCCAGAAAGUACGACAGAAAAUUCACAACCUGCCUUCGUUCACCCAGGCUGCUCUAACAACAUAUCACAGGCUGGGCGGGGGCUGGCGAACGACACAAGUUCAUUUCUCACAGCUCUCAGUCUCAGUCUCAGGCUGAGAAAUCCCUAGCCAAGGCCUGACAGGUUUGCCUGGUGAAGGCUUCCUGGUUCAUAGACGGCGCCUUCUCACUGGGUCCACACACCGUGGAAGGAGCGAGAAGCUCUCUGUAGUCCCUUUUGAAGCACAAAUCCCAUUUAUGAGACCCUCACAACAUCCUCACCGCCCAAAGCUCCCCCUCCUAGCACUAUCUCCUCGCGGGUGAGGAUUCCAACUUGUGAAUUUUGGGGAGACACAAACAUUACAAAAGCCCAUCAUUUAAUUUUUUAAAGGCAUUUUGCUUCUACAAAGUCUCAAGAUAAAAUCAAAAGAAAGAGGUCUGAGUCAAUCCACACAGUUCUCCCAAAAAGACAAGUGAUCAAUUGCCACCACUUUUUAUCGGAGACCCGCUGGGUGCCCCGGUCUGCACGACUGAUUCUAAAUCGCCGUCCUCUCCUCUGCCACUCAGAGGUCAGAGUCAGUCCAGAGCUUAACACCAAGGCAGAGCUGACUGAAAGACACCAGCUAAUCCAGUAAGACAAGCCAAGACUCCUGCCCAAGGCCUAAUCCUUUCCCAAGGGAAACAUGGAAGGGCCAGACACCUGGCAGCCCUUCCUUCCUGCUCUAAAGCCCCAGAGACACAGCCCGCCAGGUGUGCCUCGGGCAAUGCACGGUAAUGUCAGUUGGGCACCGAGUCUGAGAACAUGUUCUCAAGUAAAAAUGAAAACAAGACUGCUGAGAAA